AGUGAACGCUGGCGGCGUGCCUAACACAUGCAAGUCGAACGAUGAUGGAGAGCUUGCUCUCCUGAUUAGUGGCGCACGGGUGAGUAUACCAUAGAUAAUGUACCUCUUAGUUCGGGCUAGCCACUGGAAACGGUGAUUAAUACCGGAUACUCCUUCUUGUCUUAAGACAAGUCGGGAAAGUUUUUUCGCUAAGAGAUCAGUCUAUGUCCUAUCAGCUAGUUGGUGAGGUAAUGGCUCACCAAGGCUAUGACGGGUAUCUGGUUUGAGAGGAUGAUCAGACACACUGGAACUGAGACACGGUCCAGACUCCUACGGGAGGCAGCAGUGAGGAAUAUUGCACAAUGGAGGAAACUCUGAUGCAGCAACGCCGCGUGGAGGAUGACGCAUUUCGGUGUGUAAACUCCUUUUAAGAGGGAAGAUAAUGACGGUACCUCUUGAAUAAGCACCGGCUAACUCCUUGCCAGCCGCCGCGGUAACAC
rnacentral:rRNA from 1 species